GAUGAACGCUAGCUACAGGCUUAACACAUGCAAGUCGCGGGGCAGCAUGGGGGUUGCUUGCAAUCCCCGAUGGCGACCGGCGCACGGGUGAGUAACGCGUAUCCAACCUGCCCUUCACCACGGGAUAACCCGGCGAAAGUCGGACUAAUACCGUAUGUUGUCCAUUGACGGCAUCCGAUUUGGACGAAAGGCUUGGCGGUGAGGGAUGGGGAUGCGUCCGAUUAUCCAGACGGCGGGGUAACGGCCCACCGUGGCUACGGUCGGUAGGGGUUCUGAGAGGAAGGUCCCCCACAAUGGAACUGAGACACGGUCCAGACUCCUACGGGAGGCAGCAGUGAGGAAGAUUGGUCAAGGGGCGUAAGCCUGAACCAGCCAAGUAGCGUGCAGGAUGACGGCCCUAUGGGUUGUAAACUGCUUUUAUGCGGGGAUAAAGUGGCCCACGGGUGGGCUUUUGCAGGUACCGCAUGAAUAAGGACCGGCUAAUUCCGUG
rnacentral:rRNA from 1 species